rnacentral:rRNA from 1 species
AACGAACGCUGGCGGCAUGCCUAACACAUGCAAGUCGAACGAGACCUUCGGGUCUAGUGGCGCACGGGUGCGUAACGCGUGGGAACCUGCCCUUAGGUUCGGAAUAACUCCCCGAAAGGGGUGCUAAUACCGGAUAAUGUCUUCGGACCAAAGAUUUAUCGCCUUUGGAUGGGCCCGCGUUGGAUUAGCUAGUUGGUAGGGUAAAAGCCUACCAAGGCGACGAUCCAUAGCUGGUUUGAGAGAAUGAUCAGCCACACUGGGACUGAGACACGGCCCAGACUCCUACGGGAGGCAGCAGUGGGGAAUAUUGGACAAUGGGCGAAAGCCUGAUCCAGCAAUGCCGCGUGAGUGAUGAAGGCCUUAGGGUUGUAAAGCUCUUUUACCCGGGAUGAUAAUGACAGUACCGGGAGAAUAAGCUCCGGCUAACUCCGUG